GACGAACGCUGGCGGCGUGCUUAACACAUGCCAGUCGAACGGAAAGGCCCUGCUUUUGUUGGGUGCUCGAGUGGCGAACGGGUGAGUAACACGUGAGUAACCUGCCCUUGACUUUGGGAUAACUUCAGGAAACUGGGGCUAAUACCGGAUAGGAGCUCCUGCUGCAUGGUGGGGGUUGGAAAGUUUCGGCGGUUGGGGAUGGACUCGCGCCUUAUCAGCUUGUUGGUGGGGUAGUGGCUUACCAAGGCUUUGACGGGUAGCCGGCCUGAGAGGGUGACCGGCCACAUUGGGACUGGGAUACGGCCCAGACUCCUCCGGGAGGCAGCGGUGGGGAAUAUUGCACAAUGGGCGGAGGCCUGAGGCAGCAACGCCGCGUGCGGGAUGACGGCCUUCGGGUGGUAAACCGCUUUCGCAUGUGACAAGGCGUGAGUGACGGUAAUGGGUAAAGAAGCACCGGCUAACUACGUG
rnacentral:rRNA from 1 species